UAAAGAAAACAGAAAAACUGUAAAUGGAUCAGUUUUGUACUUUCACCUGGACUGGGCCCAUGUUUCUCAUACUGCAUCUCAAGGCCCAAAUCGCAACUAGGGUUUUGUGCUUAUAAACACUAGCUAGCCAUCGCUGCCUCUCUUCACAUAGCUCACCUCCCAUAUCUCAUCUUCUCGCUCUCACCGAAGUUCACCCCAGAAGGAGCACAAGCUUUCCGUCUCAACCGUCACCAUGAGGGCCAAGUGGAAGAAGAAGAGAAUGAGGAGGUUGAAGAGGAAGCGCCGAAAGAUGAGGCAGAGAUCUAAGUGAUUGCAGUAGCAGCAGCAGCACCUGUUUCACAUGGCGUUUCUGAGCCUAGGCUUUUGAGUUUUAUCAGGCUUAGUUGUUUGUUAGGGUUAAAAGCGACUCUCAUUUGGUACUUUUAUUUCAAGCUUUCUGUUACAUUCUCUAAAUUUUUAAUUGAAAAUUCGGCUUUUAUGAGUAAA